rnacentral:tRNA from 1 species
GCCUCCUUAGCUCAGGGGUUAGAGCACUGGUCUCGUAAACCAGGGGUCGUGAGUUCAAAUCUCACAGGGGGCA